GAUGAACGCUGGCGGCGUGCUUAACACAUGCAAGUCGAACGAAGCACUUUAUUUUAUUUCCGUCGGGACUGAUUAUUUUGUGACUGAGUGGCGGACGUGUGAGUAACGCGUGGGUAACCUGCCUUGUACAGGGGGAUAACAGUUGGAAACGGCUGCUAAUACCGCAUAAGCGCGCGGCAUCGCAUGAUGCAGUGUGAAAAACUCCGGUGGUAUAAGAUGGACCCGCGUUGGAUUAGCUAGUUGGUGAGGUAACGGCCAACCAAGGCGACGAACCAUAGCCGAGCGGAGAGGGUGACAGGCCACAUUGGGACUGAGACACGGACCACAAUCCUACGGGAGGGAGCAGUGGGGAAUAUUGCACAAUGGGCGAAAGCGUGAUGAAGCGACGCGGCGUGAGAGAAGAAGUAUUUCGGUAUGUAAAGCUCUAUCAGCAGGGAAGAUAAUGACGGUACCUGACUAAGAAGCACCGGCUAAAUACGUG
rnacentral:rRNA from 1 species